GAUGAACGCUGGCGGCGUGCCUAAUACAUGCAAGUCGAGCGAACAGACGAGGAGCUUGCUCCUCUGACGUUAGCGGCGGACGGGUGAGUAACACGUGGAUAACCUACCUAUAAGACUGGGAUAACUUCGGGAAACCGGAGCUAAUACCGGAUAAUAUAUUGAACCGCAUGGUUCAAUAGUGAAAGACGGUUUUGCUGUCACUUAUAGAUGGAUCCGCGCCGCAUUAGCUAGUUGGUAAGGUAACGGCUUACCAAGGCAACGAUGCGUAGCCGACCUGAGAGGGUGAUCGGCCACACUGGAACUGAGACACGGUCCAGACUCCUACGGGAGGCAGCAGUAGGGAAUAUUGCGCAAUGGGCGAAAGCCUGACGGAGCAACGCCGCGUGAGUGAUGAAGGUCUUCGGAUCGUAAAACUCUGUUAUUAGGGAAGAACAAAUGUGUAAGUAACUAUGCACGUCUUGACGGUACCUAAUCAGAAAGCCACGGCUAACUACGUG
rnacentral:rRNA from 1 species